rnacentral:lncRNA from 1 species
CUGGGAACUGCAGAACUUUUAGUUUUAUAAUAAUUUUAAAUUCAAUGUACAAAUAAUAGAUAACAAGAAUGUGUCCAUAGAACAUGGAUGUCCCCAUUCGAACUAUCAUUUUCUAUGUUCAUUGGACUGUAUAAUUGGGGUAAAAACUAUAAUUUGCCAUUAAAAUUAGGGAUCAUAUCAUCGGAAACAUGAGUACUAAGUUUCAA